rnacentral:rRNA from 1 species
GUCAGUGGCAGACGGGUGAGUAACACGUGGGAACGUAACCCUUCGGUUCGGAAUAACUCAGGGAAACUUGAGCUAAUACCGGAUACGCCCUUUUGGGGAAAGGUUUACUGCCGAAGGAUCGGCCCGCGUCUGACUAGCUUGUUGGUGGGGUAACGGCCUACCAAGGCGACGAUCAGUAGCUGGUCUGAGAGGAUGAUCAGCCACACUGGGACUGAGACACGGCCCAGACUCCUACGGGAGGCAGCAGUGGGGAAUAUUGGACAAUGGGCGCAAGCCUGAUCCAGCCAUGCCGCGUGAGUGAUGAAGGCCUUAGGGUUGUAAAGCUCUUUUGUCCGGGACGAUAAUGACGGUACCGGAAGA